rnacentral:lncRNA from 1 species
ACGGCACCGUUAACUUUUGACGGAAAGGGUGCAUACUGCAGCGCACACACAAAAUAGUAAGGGGAUGUGAAAUGCAAUUUCCUAAACUAUGUAUACUAAAGUGUGUUUGGGCCCAAGUGUAGAGGUGCAAUUUGCAAUUAACUCUAUUUUUUAUCAAGCUCCUGUGAAUGUUUAUUUCCUGUAACCAGUUCUUGUGAAUGCGCAUGCAUGAAUAUGUAUGCGCAUGCAUGAAUAUGUAAGAUAUGCUGACAAUACAAUUUAAACCUUAAGUAUGAAAAUUUUG